rnacentral:rRNA from 1 species
GACGUAGGGGGCCAGCGUUGCUCGGAAUUACUGGGCGUAAAGGGUUCGUAGGCGGUGCGGCAAGUUGGGAGUGAAAUCUCUGGGCUUAACCCAGAGGCUGCUUCCAAAACUGCCGCGCUUGAGUACGGGAGAGGCGAGUGGAAUUGCAGGUGUAGCGGUGAAAUGCGUAGAUAUCUGCAGGAACACCCGUGGCGAAAGCGGCUCGCUGGACCGUUACUGACGCUGAGGAACGAAAGCUAGGGGAGCAAACAGG